rnacentral:lncRNA from 1 species
CCCGCCCCUCCUUCCCCGCCCCGCCGCAACCGCGGAAAACCCGCGGGCGGAGGCCAAGGCCCAGCGCGGCCCGGCUGUGUCCCUGCGUCCCAGGGGCUGGGCGCGCCCGGCCUGCCCAGCGGGGGAUGCGGGGCGCUGUCACUUCCUCCCAGCAGCCGGGCAGGGGCGGGGGGCUGGCCGCGCGUCGCAUGGUAUGUGGAGUUCGGGGGACGGCACGGGGACGACGGGGUUGUCAGGCGCGGAGCCAUUGUCCGACGACGGCUCCUGAUAGGCCGCCUGGAUGGGGCGCGCUUGGCCGCGUUCCCGCGUCACACACCGGCUCCAGCUGCGGGAGAGCCCGUCCCACCCCAACUCCCCAGCCGCCCCUCUGAAGUGUUCCGGUGUCACCGUGGCCACAAGGAGGCAGGGGACGGGGGCUUCCUGAAGGAGGCCCCCUAAGGGGAAGGGGGCUACAAGGCUGGCCAGAGUGCUGGCCGCGCGGCUGUGCACAGGGCCUUGAGCCCCUCCGGUCGUCAAGCCUUGCUUGAAAUGCGUAAAUGCGGAAAGGUGAAGUGGCUGACCCGGCUCACACCACUUUAAGUAGCGGAGUGGGGUUCCUAGCCAGGCCUAUGGGACUCCCACUGGAGCCUUUCCCCCUCUGGGGCUGGGGCUGGACCCACAGGCUGCCGGAGCAGGCAGAAGGGGAGGGGCCCAAGGCCCAGACUCCAGGGCCUCGUCUGGAUCAUCAACCCGGCUUUGCCCAUUCAGCGCAGGCCUCCGUUUCCAGGCCUGUCUCCCCAUCCACACCGUCUCUCAGGGGUCGUGCAACCAACAGCACCCUCCACCUGCAGAAAUCGUCACCUGGCAAAACGGAAACUCUACCCACUAUGCACUAACUCCUCUUUCCCUCUCCUCCGGGCCCUGGCAACCGCCAUUCUACCUUUCGUCUCUGUGGUCUUGACUAUUCUAUGUACUGCAAAUAAAUAGAGUCACACAGCGUU